GGGCAGGCGGGGCCGCGCGCGUCUUGGAGAGGGUCUGUGGUGGCCGGGCCCCGCCGCUGAGGGGGCAGCGAGCGCGCUGUGCUCCCCUCAUGCAGUCCAGAUAUGACUGCUGUGACCAAGAAGACUUGUAGCAGCUAUCUCAUAAAUGGAAGUCAUAGGGACAACGGCUGCUUUUGUGUUACGGAACUGCAUAGUGAACAUAGUGUGGUCUAGCAACUGCAAGAUAGGAUGGUGAAGUCCAUGGAUCUGAUAUAAGAGUCUACAGAUGUGUAUA